rnacentral:rRNA from 1 species
UACGGAGGAUGCAAGCGUUAUCCGGAUUUAUUGGGUUUAAAGGGUGCGUAGGCGGGACUGUAAGUCAGGGGUGAAAUACUGCAGCUUAACUGUAGCAUUGCCUUUGAAACUGUGGUUCUUGAGUACAGUUGAGGUAGGCGGAAUGUGGUGUGUAUCGGUGAAAUGCAUAGAUAUACCACAGAACGCCGAUUGCGAAGGCAGCUUACUAAGCUGUUACUGACGCUGAGGCACGAAAGCGUGGGGAUCAAACAGGAUUAGA